rnacentral:rRNA from 1 species
AGCUCCAAUAGCGUAUAUUAAAGUUGUUGCAGUUAAAAAGCUCGUAGUUGGAUAUCUGACCUUGCAUAGACGGCCCGCCCUUGUGGUUGUGUGCUGGAGUGCUGGUCUAUCUUUCGGUUGAUGGUCAUCAAGUUAACCCUUGGUGGUUGUUAUCCGGAUCGUUUACUUUGAAAAAAUUGGAGUGUUCAAAGCAGGCUUACGCCGUGAACAGUUUAGCAUGGAAUAAUAACAUAGGACAGUCGCGUCUUAUUUUGUUGGUUCUAAGGCCGUUGUAAUGAUUGAUAGGGACAGUUAGGGGUGCUGCUAUUCCGCGGCCAGAGGUGAAAUUCUCAGAUUCCCGGAAGAGCAACUUAUGCGAAAGCAUUCACCAAGGAUGUCUUCU